AGUGAACGCUGGCGGUAGGCCUAACACUGCCAAUUCGAACGGAGCACCGCUACUUUUUGGUCUUGCUGGUGUGGCGUGGGGGUCGGGAGCGGGAUACUACCGAAUCCUCUUUUUUGGGGGGGCUUACGUAGGGUAAGUUACAUACAUAACGGGAACUACCUACGGGUGGAAGGGGUGGGUAUUUGGAGCCUGUGGGGGUUGAUCACGCGGUGUCGGAUUAGCUUGGUGGGGGGGUAAAGGACCACCAAGGCGACGGUUCGGAGAUGGGCUAAGGUGAUGGUCAGCCACACUGGAACUGAGACACGGCCCAGACUCCUACGGGAGGCAGCAGUGGGGAAUAUUGGACAAUGGGCGCAAGCCUGAUCCAGCCAUACCGCGGGGGGGAAGAAGGCCUUCGGGGUGUAAAGCCCUUUUGUUGGGAAAGAAAAGCGGCAGGUUAAUACCCCGCUGUUCUGACGGUACCCAAAGAAUAAGCGCCGGCUAACUUCGUG
rnacentral:rRNA from 1 species